GCAGUGCUCUCUCGCAUGUACAACCAAUUAGUCGAUUGGCGCAGAAAAAGAUUGAGGUCCGUGCUAAGAAAACGGCAAGCUGCUGAAGAUUCAUAAAUCAACACAAUAUUAUAAAACAAUCGGAAUGCCAGUGCCCAUAAUCGUUAAUUGCAACUACAGGACAAUGUGAUGUGAUGGCCAUGACCGUAGACAUCGAUAUGGAUAUUGGAUAUUGGAUAUGCGACACCGACACUGGAUUGAAUGUGGAUGUGGAAAACAGAAGCUGCAGCCAAAUCAGCAGAUGCAAAUGCAAAUUGCCGAGAAGCGUUGAGCGUGUUGCGCCAAUUUGCUUGGCCUGCCAACGUCUGUCAACGUCGAGUGGAGCCCUUCUUGGCCAGAUUGGCUUAGUAGCUUGGAUUCUCAGUUACUUGGCUUCUCGGCUCCUCAUGGUCCUUGUCGACCAUUGGCAAUUACAUGCAGCUCACGUCCUGUCAGAGUUGAAAGAUGACAAAUCAACUUGACAGCCGCGCCAAUUUGCAUGGCCACAUGGCCAGCGAGUAAGAUGAUGCUGAUGAUGACUGCACAGGAAAAAAUUAGAUCAUCAACUUGAUCAAUAACUCAAAUAGUAUUGUUUGGUCCAGACCGUAAACUUUUGGCUUUAAUGUUAAAAAUCUUUACUUUGGAAGGUUCCCCGAAUGGGACUUGCUCCACUGCUAAUU
ensembl:ncRNA lncRNA:CR45555 long non-coding RNA:CR45555